rnacentral:tRNA from 1 species
ACCUGGCUGGUUCAAUGAGUAGAGCAUGCGACUCUUGAUCGCAGGGUUAUGAGUUCAAACCCCACAUUGGGUG